UCUCAUCACAGUUUAACAGAGCUUUAUCUGUAACAGUUCAGAUCACCAGUGAGAUCCAUCAGCCUUCAGACAAACUAAUAGUUCUCUCCAGCUGAGGACAGAAGUCUGAGAACACUUGCUCCAUCAACUGGGAAUAAGAAAGUCUUCCAAUAAGCCAUGACAGUGUGACAGUGAGCCAGCAUGUGGAACACCAGGACUUGUUGCAGCAUUACUCCCAGACGAUGGUCAACGCCACCAAUGUGUCCUUAUCAAUGGACAGUCCAAAGUGUCCAACUCUCCAAAUUGGCCUUUAUACCAGUCUUUGACGGUCACACAACGAAGAUCCCCACUUCCUGGCCUCGUGUGUUUCCCGCCACUGUGAUUGUCUGCAAUGCCCCUGAUUUGUGUCACCUGUGUCUAAUUGUGUCCCCUCUCCUAUGGUAUUCAUUCUCUGUGCUCCCUUCCCUUUCUGCCAAGUCAUCUUGUUCCUUGUGACAAGGGUCCUAGCCUUCUCCUAGUGUUAGUGGUCUUGGUUUUUGUUAUUCGUAGCCUAGUUUUCCCCUCUUCUUUUGCCUAGCCACCUUUCGGUUUGUUUGCCUGCCUGUGCACUGUCCUUUUUUUGUAGUAAAGACUUUGAUUUUUGUGGAACCUUGAACUGUGUCCUGAAUCGUGCGUUUGAGUCCCCUUGCAAACAGCAGGCCUGGCUCGAUUUUUCAACUGCCAGAGAAUUGAUUGGCAAUUAUUUUUAAAAGCAAGUCAUUUGUCAAGCAAAAAUGCUAAAAAUUGUAUGGUUUCAUCUUGUCAAAGGUAUUUGUUUUUACAUGUCUUACAUGUAAAACUGUAGUAGCUUGAAGGUCUUUAGGUUUUGGACUGCUGGUCAGACAGAAGAAGCAAUUUAGAGACCACCUUGGGGUCUUGGAAAUAUCUGAUGUUUUUUAGACCAAACAAUUAAUCAAAUAAACAAGAAAUGAACCGGCAGGUUAAUGGAAAAAAUUCACAGACAUCCCAGAAAUAUAGUUCAAA